rnacentral:rRNA from 1 species
GAUGAACGCUAGCGGCAGGCCUAAUACAUGCAAGUCGAACGGUGUCUUCGGACAUAGUGGCGCACGGGUGCGUAACACGUAUGCAACCUACCUUACAUUGGGGGAUAGCCUUUCGAAAGGGAGAUUAAUACCGCAUAAGACAGUAACUAGGCAUCUAGUAGCUGUUAAAGAUUUAUCGAUGUAAGCUGGGCAUGCGACCAAUUAGCUUGUUGGUGAGGUAACGGCUCACCAAGGCUAUGAUUGGUAGGGGAACUGAGAGGUCAAUCCCCCACACUGGCACUGAGAUACGGGCCAGACUCCUACGGGAGGCAGCAGUAGGGAAUAUUGGGCAAUGGACGCAAGUCUGACCCAGCCAUGCCGCGUGCAGGAUGAAGGCGUUAUGCGUUGUAAACUGCUUUUAUACAGGAAGAAACGACUCUUGCGAGAGGCAUUGACGGUACUGUAUGAAUAAGCACCGGCUAACUCCGUGCCAGCAGCCGCGGUAAUACGGAGGGUGCAAGCGUUGUCCGGAUUUAUUGGGUUUAAAGGGUGCGCAGGUGGUUUAUUAAGUCAGUGGUGAGAGACGGUCGCUCAACGAUUGCAGUGCCAUUGAAACUGGUAGACUUGAGUAAAGUAGAGGUGGGCGGAAUUGAUAGUGUAGCGGUGAAAUGCAUAGAUAUUAUCAAGAACUCCAAUUGCGUAGGCAGCUCACUUGGCUUUUACUGACACUCAUGCACGAAAGUGUGGGUAUCAAACAGGAUUAGAUACCCUGGUAGUCCACACUGUAAACGAUGAUAACUAGGUGUCGGCCGAAUCUGGUCGGUGCCACAGCGAAAGCGUUAAGUUAUCCACCUGGGGAGUACGCCGGCAACGGUG